rnacentral:rRNA from 1 species
CCUACGGGUGGCAGCAGUGGGGAAUAUUGCACAAUGGGGGAAACCCUGAUGCAGCGACGCCGCGUGAGUGAAGAAGUCUUUCGGUAUGUAAAGCUCUCUCAGCAGGGAAGAAGAAAGGCGGUCCCUGACUGAGACGCCCCGGCUCCCUACGUGCCAGCACCCGCGGUAACUAGGAGGGGGCAAGCGUUAUACGGAUUAAGUGGGUGUAAAGGGAGCGUAGACGGCUGUGCAAGUCUGGAGUGAAAGACUAGGGGUCAACCCUGGGACGGCUGUGGAAACUGCGGAGCUAGAGUGCGGGAGAGGUAAGUGGAAUUCGUAGUGUAGCGGUGAAAUGCGUAGAUAUUAGGAGGAACACCAGUGGCGAAGGCGGCUUACUGGACAGUAACUGACGUUGAGGCUCGAAAGCGUGGGGAGCAAACAGGAUUAGAUACCCGUGUAGUC